rnacentral:rRNA from 1 species
AGUGAACGCUGGCGGUAGGCCUAACACAUGCAAGUCGAACGGCAGCACAGUAAGAGCUUGCUCUUACGGGUGGCGAGUGGCGGACGGGUGAGGAAUACAUCGGAAUCUACUUUUUCGUGGGGGAUAACGUAGGGAAACUUACGCUAAUACCGCAUACGACCUACGGGUGAAAGCAGGGGAUCUUCGGACCUUGCGCGAUUGAAUGAGCCGAUGUCGGAUUAGCUAGUUGGCGGGGUAAAGGCCCACCAAGGCGACGAUCCGUAGCUGGUCUGAGAGGAUGAUGAGGCACACUGGAACUGAGACACGGUACAGACUCCAACGGGAGGCAGCAGUGGGGAAUAUUGGACAAUGGGCGCAAGCCUGAUCCAGCCAUACCGCGUGGGUGAAGAAGGCCUUCGGGUUGUAAAGCCCUUUUGUUGGGAAAGAAAAGCAGCAGGUUAAUACCCCGCUGUUCUGACGGUACCCAAAGAAUAAGCACCGGCGAACGUCG